rnacentral:rRNA from 1 species
UAAGACAGAGGGGGCAAGCGUUGCUCGGAAUUACUGGGCGUAAAGGGCGCGUAGGCGGGAUGGCAAGUCGGUCGUGAAAUCCUUCGGCUCAACCGAAGAACGUCGGCCGAUACUGCCGUUCUUGAGGGAUGCAGAGGAGACUGGAAUUCCCGGUGUAGCGGUGAAAUGUGUAGAGAUCGGGAGGAACACCGGUGGCGAAGGCGGGUCUCUGGGCAUUUCCUGACGCUGAGGCGCGAAAGCGUGGGGAGCAAACG